UGUUCAUUAUGAUGAUGGUGGUGAUGAUGAUCAUGAUCGUCGUGAUCAUGAUGGUGAUGAUGAUGAUCAUGGUCGUCAUGAUCAUGAUGGUGAUGU
rnacentral:pre_miRNA from 12 species